rnacentral:rRNA from 1 species
GAUGAACGCUGGCGGCGUGCCUAAUACAUGCAAGUCGAGCGAACAGACGAGGAGCUUGCUCCUCUGACGUUAGCGGCGGACGGGUGAGUAACACGUGGAUAACCUACCUAUAAGACUGGGAUAACUUCGGGAAACCGGAGCUAAUACCGGAUAAUAUAUUGAACCGCAUGGUUCAAUAGUGAAAGACGGUUUUGCUGUCACUUAUAGAUGAAUCCGCGCCGCAUUAGCUAGUUGGUAAGGUAACGGCUUACCGAGGCAACGAUGCGUAGCCGACCUGAGAGGGUGAUCGGCCACACUGGAACUGAGACACGGUCCAGACUCCUACGGGAGGCAGCAGUAGGGAAUCUUCCGCAAUGGGCGAAAGCCUGACGGAGCAACGCCGCGUGAGUGAUGAAGGUCUUCGGAUCGUAAAACUCUGUUAUUAGGGAAGAACAAAUGUGUAAGUAACUAUGCACGUCUUGACGGUACCUAAUCAGAAAGCCACGGCUAACUACGUG